UAAAUUUUUUUUUUUCACAGAUCACAAAAGACUUUAACAGCUUUUUUUAAUAAAUAUGGCUCCUACAAAUGCAAUACUACUUCACUGGCACUGCUGUCUGAAUCUCCAUGUGCCUCUGAGCAAUAAUCCUCUGCUGAAGAUCAAGAACCUCAGCUACGGUCCUGAUCCAGCAAACAAUGUAAGUACGAGUUUAAAAAGUGUACUGCAGGUUGUGUCAUCCCCUCUGGACUUCAGGAAGGGGCUGAGCACUCACAGGUCUUGUGGAUCUAAAGAGGAGCUUGACAUACUUUGCACAAUCUCUUUUCUGAUGGCUCAAGACAUGCAGGCUGAUCUUAUUACCACAUUCUCAGGAAGCAUGAGACACCACUGAAACAAAAUGCAUCUGCCUGGUGAGCCAGGGAGCAGCAAUGUGGUCCGUGCCUCCCACACCACAGCCCACUUCUACAGAGGUUUGGCCAAGCUCUCAUUCCUGGUUAUUGUGUUUUAGGCACCUACUGUAUCCAGCUGCACUGGAGGCACAGCUCCCUCAUCUCUGCAGGGUCAGAGGAGCCUAAGGAGACCAUGCCACGUUGGAGUUGGUUGGUGUGAAAAACCCUCUUGGUGACCGCAGGAGAGUCAAAUGAGGGGUCUGAGGAAUUUGGAGGUGUCCAUAGGAGAGCUGUGGAGGAAGGGGAAUGAGCAGUGAUGGGCAGGGCUUGCCAGGGAUGGUGAGCAGCUGCCACCAGCAUGAAGGAGCCAGUGGGAGCUGGAAGCUCCGUGACAGCACUGGGAUGGUCACAAGCAAAUAUCGCAGCAAGAUAAUUGGGAAAACAAGAUCUCCAAGAAGAAGCUGUGAAUGGGUCGUCUCUGCAUCCUGGCCAGAGGGACAACAGCAUGUCAAGGUUGCCACAUCCUGCAACCUAGUGAGAAGUUAAUCUAUUUUUUGUGAGGAGAAGUGCGGUAUCUGCGAGGGGUCCCAGUUUCUAUCCCCUUCGCGGGCACUGGCACCAGUAUGCUCUUCCAGCUGGACAUCCCUCCUUCCUCUUCCCCCCUGCAGACUCCUCUCCUCCCGGGAUGGCUUCCUCCCCCCAUGGCAAGUACCUCCUUGUUGGCUCUUUUUCUCUACCCCUAAAUUAAAUUAUGCUUGUUGAUUAAGUGUAAAAUUAAAUACAAUCUGUAGUAAAUAAAUCUCUGUCAUUAGCCCAUUCGUGCGGGUUUUUUUUCCCAGUCGUACUGAAAUAAAUAGCAGUCUGGCCACUGAAAUUGGUGAGGGCCCCUUUACAUCUAACUUUGUGUUAUUAUUUCUAUUGUGGCAACUGUAAUUUCUGUAGGAUUUCACUCUGUAAAACAGAUUGCUGGAUUUCUCCGGUACAGGGGAACCAAUGAAUGACUGAACUAUGAACCACAGACCCAGCUAGGCUGGUAUCUGACUGCUGCAGAUGUGGGCUGGAAAAUUAUUGCAGCUGAGUUGAGCCAGGCAAAGAUUCAUAUAGUUUAGUCCAUGCUGAUUAAAUAAAUAUUUUUCCAGUGACAUUUUACAUUGCACAAGCAAUCUGGUCUCUUCGAAGUUCCAAGAAACACUAAUCGUAAAGGGGCUGUAAGACUCUUUAUUAACAAUUUAAUUUCUCUAGGGUAUUUAAUUCAGAGCCUUUUAAUACUGUGUUUGACCUUUCCUUUCCUGCAAAGUUAUUUAAUACUGCUCCUAAAACUGAUUUUUGGGACACGGCACUCAACCUUUUUUUUUUCUGACUGUGAAAGGCAGCUUAUUCCCGUUCUUUGUUUCCAGAAGCCAUCUUGGAGUUCACAGGCAAGAGCCUCAAAUCUUCAGAAGUAAUUCUCUCCAGUUUACUAAUGUACAUACUUAAGCCCCAGUCUGCCUAGAGAAAUAUAGUCAGAAUGAACUAAAACACACAAAUGAAAUUACCUAGCAUUUGACAUUCCCUAUGCCUGGUGUUUAAAUGAGGUCAUGUGAAAUUUGAGCUGUAGUAAAAUGUCUAUUUAGAUCAAAUAGACCAAAAUUUACAUUUCCUUCAGAUUUGUUUCCAAUAAAUUUCAUGUU